rnacentral:rRNA from 1 species
UUUUGUGGAGGGUUCGAUUCUGGCUCAGGAUGAACGCUGGCGGCGUGCUUAACACAUGCAAGUCGAACGGGAUCCAUCAGGCUUUGCUUGGUGGUGAGAGUGGCGAACGGGUGAGUAAUGCGUGACCGACCUGCCCCAUACACCGGAAUAGCUCCUGGAAACGGGUGGUAAUGCCGGAUGCUCCGACUCCUCGCAUGGGGUGUCGGGAAAGAUUCAUCGGUAUGGGAUGGGGUCGCGUCCUAUCAGNNNNNNNNNNUUCAUCGGUAUGGGAUGGGGUCGCGUCCUAUCAGGUAGUCGGCGGGGUAACGGCCCACCGAGCCUACGACGGGUAGCCGGCCUGAGAGGGCGACCGGCCACAUUGGGACUGAGAUACGGCCCAGACUCCUACGGGAGGCAGCAGUGGGGAAUAUUGCACAAUGGGCGCAAGCCUGAUGCAGCGACGCCGCGUGCGGGAUGACGGCCUUCGGGUUGUAAACCGCUUUUGAUCGGGAGCAAGCCUUCGGGUGAGUGUACCUUUCGAAUAAGCACCGGCUAACUACGUGCCAGCAGCCGCGGUAAUACGUAGGGUGCAAGCGUUAUCCGGAAUUAUUGGGCGUAAAGGGCUCGUAGGCGGUUCGUCGCGUCCGGUGUGAAAGUCCAUCGCUUAACGGUGGAUCUGCGCCGGGUACGGGCGGGCUGGAGUGCGGUAGGGGAGACUGGAAUUCCCGGUGUAACGGUGGAAUGUGUAGAUAUCGGGAAGAACACCAAUGGCGAAGGCAGGUCUCUGGGCCGUUACUGACGCUGAGGAGCGAAAGCGUGGGGAGCGAACAGGAUUAGAUACCCUGGUAGUCCACGCCGUAAACGGUGGAUGCUGGAUGUGGGGCCCGUUCCACGGGUUCCGUGUCGGAGCUAACGCGUUAAGCAUCCCGCCUGGGGAGUACGGCCGCAAGGCUAAAACUCAAAGAAAUUGACGGGGGCCCGCACAAGCGGCGGAGCAUGCGGAUUAAUUCGAUGCAACGCGAAGAACCUUACCUGGGCUUGACAUGUUCCCGACAGCCGUAGAGAUAUGGCCUCCCUUCGGGGCGGGUUCACAGGUGGUGCAUGGUCGUCGUCAGCUCGUGUCGUGAGAUGUUGGGUUAAGUCCCGCAACGAGCGCAACCCUCGCCCUGUGUUGCCAGCACGUCAUGGUGGGAACUCACGGGGGACCGCCGGGGUCAACUCGGAGGAAGGUGGGGAUGACGUCAGAUCAUCAUGCCCCUUACGUCCAGGGCUUCACGCAUGCUACAAUGGCCGGUACAACGGGAUGCGACACGGCGACGUGGAGCGGAUCCCUGAAAACCGGUCUCAGUUCGGAUUGGAGUCUGCAACCCGACUCCAUGAAGGCGGAGUCGCUAGUAAUCGCGGAUCAGCAACGCCGCGGUGAAUGCGUUCCCGGGCCUUGUACACACCGCCCGUCAAGUCAUGAAAGUGGGUAGCACCCGAAGCCGGUGGCCUAACCCUUUGUGGAUGGAGCCGUCUAAGGUGAGACUCGUGAUUGGGACUAAGUCGUAACAAGGUAGCCGUACCGGAAGGUGCGGCUGGAUCACCUCCUUUCUACGGAG